CAGCCGCCACGGUAAUACGUAGGUCCCGAGCGUUGUCCGGAUUUAUUGGGCGUAAAGGGAGCGCAGGCGGUUUAGUAAGUCUGAAGUUAAAGGCAUUGGCUCACCCAAUGUAUGCUUUGGAAACUGUUAGACUUGAGUGCAGAAGGGGAGAGUGGAAUUCCAUGUGUAGCGGUGAAAUGCGUAGAUAUAUGGAGGAACACCGGUGGCGAAAGCGGCUCUCUGGUCUGUCACUGACGCUGAGGCUCGAAAGCGUGGGUAGCGAACAGGAUUAGAUACCCGUGUAGUCCCUGUCUCUUAUACA
rnacentral:rRNA from 1 species